AGAGUUUGAUCCUGGCUCAGGACGAACGCUGGCGGCGUGCCUAAUACAUGCAAGUCGAGCGAGCUUGCCUAGAUGAUUUUAGUGCUUGCACUAAAUGAAACUAGAUACAAGCGAGCGGCGGACGGGUGAGUAACACGUGGGUAACCUGCCCAAGAGACUGGGAUAACACCUGGAAACAGAUGCUAAUACCGGAUAACAACACUAGACGCAUGUCUAGAGUUUGAAAGAUGGUUCUGCUAUCACUCUUGGAUGGACCUGCGGUGCAUUAGCUAGUUGGUAAGGUAACGGCUUACCAAGGCAAUGAUGCAUAGCCGAGUUGAGAGACUGAUCGGCCACAUUGGGACUGAGACACGGCCCAAACUCCUACGGGAGGCAGCAGUAGGGAAUCUUCCACAAUGGACGAAAGUCUGAUGGAGCAACGCCGCGUGAGUGAAGAAGGGUUUCGGCUCGUAAAGCUCUGUUGGUAGUGAAGAAAGAUAGAGGUAGUAACUGGCCUUUAUUUGACGGUAAUUACUUAGAAAGUCACGGCUAACUACGUGCCAGCAGCCGCGGUAAUACGUAGGUGGCAAGCGUUGUCCGGAUUUAUUGGGCGUAAAGCGAGUGCAGGCGGUUUAAUAAGUCUGAUGUGAAAGCCUUCGGCUCAACCGGAGAAUUGCAUCAGAAACUGUUGAACUUGAGUGCAGAAGAGGAGAGUGGAACUCCAUGUGUAGCGGUGGAAUGCGUAGAUAUAUGGAAGAACACCAGUGGCGAAGGCGGCUCUCUGGUCUGCAACUGACGCUGAGGCUCGAAAGCAUGGGUAGCGAACAGGAUUAGAUACCCUGGUAGUCCAUGCCGUAAACGAUGA
rnacentral:rRNA from 1 species